rnacentral:rRNA from 1 species
ACGGGAGGCAGCAGUGGGGAAUAUUGGGCAAUGGGCGCAAGCCUGACCCAGCAACGCCGCGUGAAGGAAGAAGGCUUUCGGGUUGUAAACUUCUUUUGUCAGGGAAGAGCAGAAGACUGUACCUGAUGAAUAAGCCACGGCUAACUACGUGCCAGCAGCCGCGGUAAUACGUAGGUGGCAAGCGUUGUCCGGAUUUACUGGGUGUAAAGGGCGUGUAGGCGGGACAUCAAGUCAGAUGUGAAAGCACGAGGCUCAACUUCGUGUCUGCAUUUGAAACUGACGUUCUUGAGUGUUGGAGAGGCUAACGGAACUCCUAGUGUAGCGGUGAAAUGCGUAGAUAUUAGGAAGAACACCAGUGGCGAAGGCGGUUAGCUGGACAAUAACUGACGCUGAGGCGCGAAAGCGUGGGUAGCAAACAGGAUUAGAUACCCUGGUA